rnacentral:lncRNA from 1 species
CCCUUUUUUCUAUUCUAUAUAACUUUUGGCCUUUAUUUUGCAGUUUUUAACCAUUAUUCUCCAUUCUGUUCUGAACAUGCAUGUAAUAUUUGCCACUGGACGUUAACAAACCAACUAUCAAUUAAUCUAUUAUGUAAACCACACCCAUAUCCUCAUGAAGUAACAUUUAGAUUUUUAUAUUCUUUUGUCAUAUACAAAUUUAGAU